ACGAACGCUGGCGGCGUGCCUAAUACAUGCAAGUAGAACGCUGAAGGAGGAGCUUGCUUCUCCGGAUGAGUUGCGAACGGGUGAGUAACGCGUAGGUAACCUGCCUGUUAGCGGGGGAUAACUAUUGGAAACGAUAGCUAAUACCGCAUAACAGUAGAUAUUGCAUGAUAUCUGCUUGAAAGGUGCAAUUGCAUCACUACCAGAUGGACCUGCGUUGUAUUAGCUAGUUGGUGAGGUAACGGCUCACCAAGGCGACGAUACAUAGCCGACCUGAGAGGGUGAUCGGCCACACUGGGACUGAGACACGGCCCAGACUCCUACGGGAGGCAGCAGUAGGGAAUCUUCGGCAAUGGACGGAAGUCUGACCGAGAAACGCCGCGUGAGUGAAGAAGGUUGUCGGAUCGUAAAGCUCUGUUGUAAGAGAAGAACGAGUGUGAGAGUGGAAAGUUCACACUGUGACGGUAUCUUACCAGAAAGGGACGGCUAACUACGUG
rnacentral:rRNA from 1 species